rnacentral:snoRNA from 1 species
ACCCCUGGGGUUCGUUGUCCCUCCGAUGUAAAUAUGGGUCUGAGUGGCUGAAAAAGAAGGAAAAGUAAAACGGAAGUGGAGUUGGAGUCUUUAAUAACUUACAAGCUAAUUUCAAACAUAG